rfam:Oryza glumipatula chromosome 10, whole genome shotgun sequence.
AAAAAAAGACACCCUGGGUUUCCGUGUCCAACGUUUGACUGUCCGUCUUAUAUGAAAUUUUUUUAUAAUUUCUAUUUUCAUUGUUAUUAGAUGAUAAAACAUGAUUAAUACUUUAUGUGUGACUUGUCUUUUUAAUUUUUUUUAUAAUUUUUUCAAAUAAGACGAACGAUCAAACGUUGGAUACGGAAAUCUAGGGUUUGUCUUUUA